UACGGAGGGUGCAAGCGUUAAUCGGAAUUACUGGGCGUAAAGCGUGCGCAGGCGGUUUGUUAAGUCCGCUGUGAAAUCCCCCGAGCUCAACUUGGGAAUUGCAGUGGAUACUGGCAAGCUGGAGUAUGGUAGAGGAAGGUGGAAUUCCCGGUGUAGCAGUGAAAUGCGUAGAGAUCGGGAGGAACACCAGUGGCGAAGGCGGCCUUCUGGACCAAUACUGACGCUCAUGCACGAAAGCGUGGGGGAGCAAACAGG
rnacentral:rRNA from 1 species